AUGAACGCUGGCGGCGUGCCUAAUACAUGCAAGUCGAGCGAACAGACGAGGAGCUUGCUCCUCUGACGUUAGCGGCGGACGGGUGAGUAACACGUGGAUAACCUACCUAUAAGACUGGGAUAACUUCGGGAAACCGGAGCUAAUACCGGAUAAUAUAUUUAACCGCAUGGUUCAAUAGUGAAAGACGGUUUUGCUGUCACUUAUAGAUGGAUCCGCGCCGCAUUAGCUAGUUGGUAAGGUAACGGCUUACCAAGGCAACGAUGCGUAGCCGACCUGAGAGGGUGAUCGGCCACACUGGAACUGAGACACGGUCCAGACUCCUACGGGAGGCAGCAGUAGGGAAUCUUCCGCAAUGGGCGGAAGCCUGACGGAGCAACGCCGCGUGAGUGAUGAAGGUCUUCGGAUCGUAAAACUCUGUUAUUAGGGAAGAACAAAUGUGUAAGUAACUAUGCACGUCUUGACGGUACCUAAUCAGAAAGCCACGGCUAACUACGUG
rnacentral:rRNA from 1 species